UCUGUAAUCUAUCGGUCAGUCGGUCGUUCCGCGGUGAAGACCCGCAGCAGUGCCUAUCGAUAGGACCAGCUGGUUGCCACCACUAGUUACUAAAUCGACAGACGAAAAUAAAGAAAAAGUUGGUGCAGUAACAAUCAAUCCUCAACACACACGCUGUGGGCCACGAUUGCGAUUUUAGCAGACGGGGCAUUUAGACAAUUGGAUGUGUCCCGCUUCCGAAUUGUAGUGCCACGCCUCCUGCCAGUCCAGCGUUUCCCGACUGGUUAGCAUCGCUGGAAAACUAAAAAAAAAAACAGCACUUGCAUCGAUAUAUAUAUUAUAAAAAAAAAAGGAAAGGCAACAGCAAAACAGCGAGAUGGCUGGCCAACAGAUCCUGGGCCCCAGAUUAUUUCCCAACUCCGCGAAGACCCUAUACGACCUGUCGCUGGAGGCCCUCAUCGGGAGUAUGAACACCAAGAUUCCGGCGCUGAACAGGAUCCACCGACUGUCUGAGCUGCCACGCAACUUGCUCAUUGAUGUUUACGAAAUGAUGUCUAAGGAGGAGUCCUUGAAGGACACUUUGCUGGAGGAGCUGGCCCAGCUUGAGGUAUUCUCUCGACUCGUUCGCUUUCCAUUUGCCCGCAGCCAAUUGCUGCGCAUAAUGGCCUCACUAAUGGCCAGCAAUAAGAUGCUGGCCAAAAGACUCAGCGAGAACUAUGUGUCGCGCUAUGAGGUGGUGACCCGUCAGGACAGUCAGGAGGAAGAGGAGCUGGAGUCGAGCAUGGAUACACUUGAGGAUCGCUCAAUGGAGCUCAAUACACUGUAUACCUACGAUGCCGAAUCUUCAGGUGCAAACACCACCAGUGACGAAUUUAAUGACGAAUUCAGUGUGGAUAUCAAAAGCAUAAUAGGUGUCCCACAGCGGAGAGCAAACCCGGAUAAUUUCGAGGCGAUCAACGAUUCUGACCUCAAGGCGCUGUCCGCCGUGGAGCUGCAGGUCAUCGACCUAGGCCUACGCCUCGGAUCGUUUCUCUCGGAGGCUGGAUGGAUGCAGGAGAGCAUUACCGUGCUGGCAUGCCUUAAUGUAAGACUGAAGGAUCUGCCGAUUCACAGACACUGGUUGCAGUUCCGACUCGACUGCCUGCAGCGCCUUCUGUACGCCGAAUCAGCCCAUUGCAACUUCAAGGAGGCACACAAAACCUACGUGGAAUUGAUGGGUCUAAACAAAUGGCUUAAUAGGAACGUGCCAAACCAGCUGGUGGCCAUAACCUACAGUCAGAUUUCGGCCAUGUACUUUGCCCGCAAUGAGUAUAAGAACAGUCAUUUGUGGAGCGGUCUCGCCAUGCGAUUUUUAAAGGGAAUUGCGCAUCCACGCAUCAUCAUCGAUGUUCUGCGCCAGGCGGCCAAGGCCUGUGUCGUUAAGCGGGACUUUGCCCGGGCCAAUCUGCUCAUCUGCCAGGCGGUGCGACGAGCACGUGAGUACUUUGGCCCAAAGCACCAGAAGUACGGCGAUGCACUGCUGGAUUACGGAUUUUUCCUACUCAACGUGGACUCCGUGUUCCAGUCUGUAUAUACAUACAAAGAAGCACUGGCCGUGCGCCGUGGUAUUUUUGGGAAUAUGAACUUUCACGUGGCCAUUGCCCACGAGGAUUUGUCAUAUGCCUACUACGUUCACGAGUACAGCACCGGUGACUUUAGCUGUGCCCAGGAUCACGUGGACAAGGCUGUUAAUAUCAUGCAGCAUCUGGUGCCCAGCAAUCAUCUGAUGUUGGCAUCGGCGAAGCGCGUGAAGGCACUCCUGCUGGAGGAGAUUGCGCUGGACAAGAUGGCUGAUGGCAUUGACGAGGAGGAUCUGCUGCUCCAAUCCGAGGAGCUGCACAACUUCGCCCUGAUUCUCUCGCUGCAAGUGUUUGGCGAGGUGAAUGUGCAGACGGCGAAGCACUAUGGAAAUCUGGGGCGGUUAUACCAAACGAUGAAUCGUUUCGAGGAGGCGGAGCGAAUGCACAAAAAGGCGAUCAAAAUUAAGUCAGAACUGCUGGGUCACUUUGACUACGAGGUGGGCCUGUCCAUUGGGCAUUUGGCCUCGCUGUACAACUAUCAGAUGAAGAAAUACCGUGACGCCGAACAGCUUUACAUGCGCAGCAUUGAUAUAAGCCUGCGUCUGUUCGGGAACGCAUACUCUGGCCUGGAGUACGAUUAUUUGGGUCUGUGCCACGUCUACGAAACAUUGCACAACUUUGAAAAGUAUUUGAAGUAUGCGAACAAGCUGGAGAACUGGCAGCUGCUGCGUGGCCAAAACAUCACUCUAAAUAAGUCCAGCUAUCCCGCCAUCGAGGUGGACUACUCUAUCGAGGAGGUCAAGACCAAGUACUUCAGCAUGUGCGUCUCCAAUAAGAGCGCACACUACUCGGUGCACGCAGAGGACGCGUACCAGAACUGAGUAGGGGCUUUGGGAGUGGUUGCGGGAUCGGUACCGGAAUCGGAUAUGGUAGCGGACGACGAAGAGGAAGUUACAGUUGCACCUGCACUAGCAAUCGCAAUCGCACCCACACCCCCAGCAUCGGAUGGCACAAACUGGAGGGCAAACUGCAGCAGGAGCAGCGGCAAUGGUGACAGCGGCGGCAACAUCUGCAGUUUGUCUUAGAUAAGAGAUUCGAAUAAGUUAGUUCACGUUGAUUAGGCAGAAGAUCGGGACGCAUCAAGGAUCGACCCCUGUGUUCUAUAAGAAUCUCUAGACCCGUACUUAUAGCCGUACUAUACGGAUUGCGUCGUAACGAGAGUGGGUCAGCUAAGCAAAUUUUUUACUGUGUUCCAGUCAUCAUCGAAUACGUCCAGUACCCCUAGUUCCCGAAGUUUUCACGGAUGCCAAGUCCAGUUUUUUCAGUCAGUUAGACCUAGGCUAAGAUGUAGUAGUAUUGUUGGAGCUUCGGUUACCCGCUUGAACGGGAGAUCGUUGAGCAAAUAGUUUUUUUUUUUUUUUAAGUCUUUUCCCCGCGUUUUGUUCCAUGUACAAAUGUGAAAUUUUUCGCCUCUAAUAAUUCAACUUUUGUAUUUUUUUCGGAAACCGCAAGAAAGGGCCAGUCGCCAGAGGAAAAAAUGUACUUUCGUUAGAGUAGCACCUGUAUUUGAUUCAGUUUGUAAUUUCCCGCCUUUAUAAGGAGUGCAAGGAGUAAGCCCAUUGUAUAGUCGAAACGAUAUAUUAAUAAAUAUAUAUAUAUUUCCUUGCGUUCACUUAAAAAACAAAUUUAAAAAAAAUGGCAUCAAAAGUAUUGUCGCAGCCCCCAAAAAUUCCGAAAGGCGACGGGCAAAGCGUUGUAAAUAACUCGGGUCGAAUAGUACAGCUUCCAGUUAAAAGAAAAUGGUUUAUAAUAUAACACAAACACACAUGCAUAUUCACAUAUAUAUAUAUAUAAAUAAAAAUAAAUGAAUGCGUACGAAUUAAGACAAUUUAUACCAUUAACAUUUGCUACCUAGAGCGAUACUUAUAAUACACAAUUGAAGUUGCAAAA
rnacentral:misc_RNA from 1 species